UAAAGAAUUUUAAAUCUCAUGGUUUUAGGUGGAAUUUGAGAGGAUUUUACAAUAAACUAGAUUUUAACUCGCGGUAUACCGCGGGACGAUUUAGUUUUUUAAAAGUAAUAUAUAUUAAAACUUGCAAAUUUUAUUUUUAUAAAAUAUUUAUAUUUUACAGUUUAUAAUUGUUAUUAAGUAACAGUAUACCACGAAUCCAUGAGAUAAUUGUUAAAAAACUGAAGUUUUAACCCCUAUUAAAACAGCAUAUUAAUAAUAUUUUUAAAUUUUAUAAAUAUUGAUUCAAAUACAUCCAUCAUAUAACUCAAUUCCAAAAUAGAACUCGUUCUGUAAUUUUUUUACCGUCCCGUGAUUUUUUUUAAAAAUAGUAAUUUUUAAAAUUUAAGAAUAAUUUUUUAUAUAGAAAAGUUUUGCAAAUUGUAUCAUUCUCUAAUACAUUUAUAUCUAUAGUUUAAUUUUAUAUAUAGUAACAUUAUACAUACCACAUAACAUUUUUGGUUUUAUAUAAUCUUUUCUAAAUUAGGAUGAUUUGAUAUGUUCAAUAUUAGUGGUCUUAAU
rnacentral:sRNA from 1 species